rnacentral:rRNA from 1 species
UACAGAGGUCCCGAGCGUUGUUCGGAUUCAUUGGGCGUAAAGGGCGCGUAGGCGGGCUGUCAAGUCUGGGGUGAAAUCCCACGGCUCAACCGUGGAACUGCCUUAGAUACUGACGGCCUCGAGGGAGAUAGGGGCGAGCGGAACUGUGAGUGGAGCGGUGAAAUGCGUUGAUAUUCACAGGAACUCCGGUGGCGAAGGCGGCUCGCUGGAUCUUUUCUGACGCUGAGGCGCGAAAGCUAGGGGAGCAAACAGG